GGGGCCGUAGUCUAGCCUGGUAGGAUGCGUGGCUUGGGCCCGGGAGGGUAGACCCCCGGGACUUCGAAUCCCGGCGGCCCCACCA
rnacentral:tRNA from 1 species